rnacentral:rRNA from 1 species
UCGGUUGAUCCUGCCGGAGGUCACCGCUAUUGGAGUACGAUUAAGCCAUGCGAGUCGAGAGUCCUCGGGACUCGGCGGACCGCUCAGUAACACGUAGAUAAUCUGUCCUUAGGUGGGGGAUAACCUCGGGAAACUGAGAAUAAUACCCCAUAGGUCUAGAAUGCUGGAAUGCUUCUAUACUUAAAAUUCCGAUGCCUAAGGGUGAGUCUGCGGCCUAUCAGGUAGUAGUGAGUGUAAAGGACUCACUAGCCGACGACGGGUACGGGCCUUGAGAGAGGUUGCCCGGAGAUGGAAUCUGAGACACGAUUCCAGGCCCUACGGGGCGCAGCAGGCGCGAAAACUUCACACUGUGGGAAACCACGAUGAGGGAACUCCAAGUGCUUAUACAUUGUAUAAGCUGUUUAGUAGCCUAAAAAGCUAUUAGAGUAAGAGCUGGGUAAGACGGGUGCCAGCCGCCGCGGUAAUACCUGCAGCUCGAGUGGUGAUCGUUAUUAUUGGGCCUAAAACGUCCGUAGCCGGUCUUAUAAAUGCCUGGGUAAAUCGUAUGGCUUAACCAUACGAAUUCCGGGUAGACUGUUUGACUUGAGACCGGGAGAAGCUAGAGGUACUCCUGNGUAGAGGUGAAAUUCUGUAAUCCUANGGGGACCACCAGUGGCGAAGGCGUCUAGCUAGAACGGGUCUGACGGUGAGGGACGAAGCCCUGGGGCGCAAACGGGAUUAGAUACCCCGGUAGUCCAGGGUGUAAACGCUGCUUGCUUGAUGNUAGUCUGGCUCCNANNCAGAUUANUGUCGGAGAGAAGUUGUUAGCAANNUGCCUGGGAAGUACGGCCGCAAGACUGAAACUUAAAGGNAUNGCGGGG